CAAUAGCGUAUAUUAAAGCUGUUGCGGUUAAAAAGUUCGUAGUUGGAUUUCUGUCAAGGACAACUGGUCCGCCCUCCGGGUGAGCACAUAGUUUGGUCUUGGCAUCUUGCUGGAAACUGUUGCUGCACUUGGCUGUGUGGCGCAGCGUCCAACACUUUCACUUUGAGGAAAUUGGAGUGUUUCAAGCAGGCACAUGCCUUUGGACACAGUAGCAUGGAAUAAUUAGAUUGGGCUUUUGCUCCAAUUUGUCGGUUUCUGGAGCUGAGGUGAGAAUUAAUGGGGAUUGUUGGGGGCAUCCGAAUUUAGCCGUCAGAGGUGAAAUUCUUGGAUCUGCUAAAGACGGACAACUGCGAAAGCGUUUGCCCAGGAUGUUUUCAUUGA
rnacentral:rRNA from 1 species